GAUGAACGCUGGCGGCGUGCCUAAUACACGCAAGUCGAGCGAACGGACGAGAAGCUUGCUUCUCUGAUGUUAGCGGCGGACGGGUGAGUAACACGUGGAUAACCUACCUAUAAGACUGGGAUAACUUCGGGAAACCGGAGCUAAUACCGGAUAAUAUUUUGAACCGCAUGGUUCAAAAGUGAAAGACGGUCUUGCUGUCACUUAUAGAUGGAUCCGCGCUGCAUUAGCUAGUUGGUAAGGUAACGGCUUACCAAGGCAACGAUGCAUAGCCGACCUGAGAGGGUGAUCGGCCACACUGGAACUGAGACACGGUCCAGACUCCUACGGGAGGCAGCAGUAGGGAAUCUUCCGCAAUGGGCGAAAGCCUGACGGAGCAACGCCGCGUGAGUGAUGAAGGUCUUCGGAUCGUAAAACUCUGUUAUUAGGGAAGAACAUAUGUGUAAGUAACUGUGCACAUCUUGACGGUACCUAAUCAGAAAGCCACGGCUAACUACGUGCCAGCAGCCGCGGUAAUACGUAGGUGGCAAGCGUUAUCCGGAAUUAUUGGGCGUAAAGCGCGCGUAGGCGGUUUUUUAAGUCUGAUGUGAAAGCCCACGGCUCAACCGUGGAGGGUCAUUGGAAACUGGAAAACUUGAGUGCAGAAGAGGAAAGUGGAAUUCCAUGUGUAGCGGUGAAAUGCGCAGAGAUAUGGAGGAACACCAGUGGCGAAGGCGACUUUCUGGUCUGUAACUGACGCUGAUGUGCGAAAGCGUGGGGAUCAAACAGGAUUAGAUACCCUGGUAGUCCACGCCGUAAACGAUGAGUGCUAAGUGUUAGGGGGUUUCCGCCCCUUAGUGCUGCAGCUAACGCAUUAAGCACUCCGCCUGGGGAGUACGACCGCAAGGUUGAAACUCAAAGGAAUUGACGGGGACCCGCACAAGCGGUGGAGCAUGUGGUUUAAUUCGAAGCAACGCGAAGAACCUUACCAAAUCUUGACAUCCUUCGACAACUCUAGAGAUAGAGCCUUCCCCUUCGGGGGACAAAGUGACAGGUGGUGCAUGGUUGUCGUCAGCUCGUGUCGUGAGAUGUUGGGUUAAGUCCCGCAACGAGCGCAACCCUUAAGCUUAGUUGCCAUCAUUAAGUUGGGCACUCUAAGUUGACUGCCGGUGACAAACCGGAGGAAGGUGGGGAUGACGUCAAAUCAUCAUGCCCCUUAUGAUUUGGGCUACACACGUGCUACAAUGGACAAUACAAAGGGCAGCGAAACCGCGAGGUCAAGCAAAUCCCAUAAAGUUGUUCUCAGUUCGGAUUGUAGUCUGCAACUCGACUACAUGAAGCUGGAAUCGCUAGUAAUCGUAGAUCAGCAUGCUACGGUGAAUACGUUCCCGGGUCU
rnacentral:rRNA from 1 species